GUUCCUUCAAUCUCUUGGAAGAGUCCAAGAUUUCUGGGACUCCUCAUCCCAACCUUAUUACAUGGCUAUAAAAAAGAAUUUAUUUGUUUCUUUUAUACAUGUAAGAUAGUAGAGAAGGAGUUCUCUAUGUGAGGAGGUUUUGGGGCAUGGUUCCAAUGCAUGAAAAAGAGGAGGAGAGUCCUCUCUCUUUGGGUUAGCACAAAAGCUGA
rnacentral:lncRNA from 1 species